UGUGUGCCUUGGAGUCUCAGAGAGUUGAUCAUGGCUCAGGACGAACGCUGGCGGCGUGCUUCAUACAUGCAAGUCGAACGAGAAGCUGACUUCGGUCAGUGGAAAGUGGCGGACGGGUGAGUAACACGUAGGAAAUCUGCCCUUUGGAGGGGGACAACAGUUGGAAACGACUGCUAAUACCCCAUAUGAGCUAAGCUGAAAUGCUUAUCUUGAAAACUCCGGUGCCAAAGGAUGAGCCUGCGCCUGAUUAGCUAGUUGGUGGUGUAAUGGACUACCAAGGCGACGAUCAGUAGCUGGUUUGAGAGGAUGAUCAGCCACAAUGGGACUGAGACACGGCCCAUACUCCUACGGGAGGCAGCAGUAGGGAAUUUUGCGCAAUGGGGGAAACCCUGACGCAGCAACGCCGCGUGAUUGAUGAAGCCCUUCGGGGUGUAAAGAUCUGUCAGUAGGGACGAAUUUUGACGGUACCUACAGAGGAAGCACCGGCUAACUCCGUGCCAGCCGCGGC
rnacentral:rRNA from 1 species